UACGGGGGGAGCAAGCGUUGUUCGGAUUUACUGGGCGUAAAGGGCGCGUAGGCGGCGCAACAAGUCACUUGUGAAAUCUCCGAGCUUAACCCGGAGCGGCCAAGUGAUACUGUCGUGCUAGAGUGCGGAAGGGGCUACUGGAAUUCUCGGUGUAGCGGUGAAAUGCGUAGAUAUCGAGAGGAACACCUGCGGCGAAGGCGGGUAGCUGGGCCGACACUGACGCUGAGGCGCGAAAGCCAGGGGAGCGAACGGG
rnacentral:rRNA from 1 species